rnacentral:rRNA from 1 species
GUAGGGAAUAUUGGGCAAUGGUCGGAAGACUGACCCAGCCAUGCCGCGUGCAGGAAGACGGCCCUCUGGGUUGUAAACUGCUUUUAUCUGGGAAGAAAAAGGCCAUGCGUGGCAAAUUGCCGGUACCAGAUGAAUAAGCACCGGCUAACUCCGUGCCAGCAGCCGCGGUAAUACGGAGGGUGCGAGCGUUGUCCGGAUUUAUUGGGUUUAAAGGGUGCGUAGGCGGCUGAUUAAGUCAGCGGUGAAAGACUUCGGCUUAACCGGAGCAGUGCCGUUGAUACUGGUUGGCUUGAGUGUCGGAGGGGUACAUGGAAUUGAUGGUGUAGCGGUGAAAUGAAUAGAUACCAUCAGGAACACCGAUAGCGAAGGCAUUGUACUGGCCGACAACUGACGCUGAUGCACGAAAGUGUGGGGAUCGAACAGGAUUAGAAACACCAGUAGUCC